rnacentral:rRNA from 1 species
AGUGAACGCUGGCGGUAGGCCUAACACAUGCAAGUCGAACGGCAGCACAGGAGAGCUUGCUCUCUGGGUGGCGAGUGGCGGACGGGUGAGGAAUACAUCGGAAUCUACUCUGUCGUGGGGGAUAACGUAGGGAAACUUACGCUAAUACCGCAUACGACCUACGGGUGAAAGCAGGGGAUCUUCGGACCUUGCGCGAUUGAAUGAGCCGAUGUCGGAUUAGCUAGUUGGCGGGGUAAAGGCCCACCAAGGCGACGAUCCGUAGCUGGUCUGAGAGGAUGAUCAGCCAAAAUGGAACUGAGACACGGUCCAGACUCCUACGGGAGGCAGCAGUGGGGAAUAUUGGACAAUGGGCGCAAGCCUGAUCCAGCCAUACCGCGUGGGUGAAGAAGGACUUCGGGUUGUAAAGCCCUUUUGUUGGGAAGGAAAUCCAGCUGGCUAAUACCCGGUUGGGAUGACGGUACCCAAAGAAUAAGCACCGGCUAACUUCGUGCCAGCCGCCGCAGUAA